GCUCGCCCUGGCAGAACAUACACUAAGACCGAACGACACACAGAAGAUCAGCACGGUCCCUUGCAAGCAGGACACAUAAAUUUGGGAAGUGCUCCUUAUUUUU